rnacentral:rRNA from 1 species
AGAGUUUGAUCAUGGCUCAGAGCGAACGUUAGCGGCGGGCCUAACACAUGCAAGUCGAACGAGAAAAUCCCUUCGGGGGUGAGUACAGUGGCGCACGGGUGAGGAACGCGUAGGUAAUCCACCCUCUGGCGGGGGACAACACUCCGAAAGGAAUGCUAAUACCGCGUAAGACCACGCUCACUACGGUGAAAGUGGUUAAAGGUGCCUCAAAGCACCACCAGAGGACGAGCCUGCGUCCCAUCAGCUUGUUGGUAAGGUAAUGGCUUACCAAGGCUAAGACGGGUAGCUGGUCUGAGAGGAUGAUCAGCCACACUGGCACUGGAACACGGGCCAGACUCCUACGGGAGGCAGCAGUGAGGAAUAUUGGGCAAUGGGCGCAAGCCUGACCCAGCCACGCCGCGUGUGUGAUGAAGGCCUUCGGGUCGUAAAGCACUGUGGGGAGAGACGAAACAGCGCAUCAGGAAAUGGGUGCGCCUUGACGGUACCUCCUUAGCAAGCACCGGCUAACUCUGUGCCAGCAGCCGCGGUAAUACAGAGGGUGCAAACGUUGCUCGGAUUUACUGGGCGUAAAGCGCGUGUAGGCGGACUCGCAAGUCGGUUGUGAAAUCCCUGGGCUCAACCUAGGAACUGCAUCCGAAACUGCUUGUCUUGAGUAAUGGAGAGGGUGGCGGAAUUCCCGGUGUAGAGGUGAAAUUCGUAGAUAUCGGGAGGAACACCAGUGGCGAAGGCGGCCACCUGGACAUUUACUGACGCUGAGACGCGAAAGCGUGGGGAGCAAACAGGAUUAGAUACCCUAGUAGUCC